AAAGAAUUGAUUUGACCACCUAU
rnacentral:siRNA from 1 species